rnacentral:rRNA from 1 species
GUGUCAGCAGCCGCGGUAAUACAGAGGCCUCAAGCGUUAGGCGGAAUCACUGGGCUUAAAGCGUGUGUAGGCGGGUCGUUAAGUACCUUGUGAAAUCCCACGGCUUAACUGUGGAACGGCUUGGUAUACUGGCGAUCUUGAGCCACUUAGGGGCUACCGGAACAGAUGGUGGAGCGGUGAAAUGCGUAGAUAUCAUCUGGAACGCCAAUGGUGAAAACAGGUAGCUGGGAGUGUGCUGACGCUGAGACACGAAAGCCAGGGGAGCGAACGGGAUUAGAAACCCCUGUAGUCC